GUGGGGAAUAUUGGACAAUGGGGGCAACCCUGAUCCAGCCAUGCCGCGUGAAUGAUGAAGGCCUUCGGGUUGUAAAGUUCUUUUGGAGGGGACGAUGAUGACGGUACCCUCAGAAUAAGCUCCGGCUAACUUCGUGCCAGCAGCCGCGGUAAUACGAAGGGAGCUAGCGUUGUUCGGAAUUACUGGGCGUAAAGGGCGCGUAGGCGGUUUGGUUAGUCAGAUGUGAAAGCCCAGGGCUUAACCCUGGAACUGCGUUUGAUACUGCCAAGCUUGAAUUCGGGAGAGGUGAGUGGAAUUCCCAGUGUAGAGGUGAAAUUCGUAGAUAUUGGGAAGAACACCGGUGGCGAAGGCGGCUCACUGGACCGACAUUGACGCUGAGGCGCGAAAGCGCGGGGAGCAAACAGGAUUAGAAACCCGUGUAGUCC
rnacentral:rRNA from 1 species